rnacentral:rRNA from 1 species
ACGAACGUUGGCGGCGUGGAUUAGGCAUGCAAGUCGAACGAAUCCCAUCGGGGUGGUAACACUCUGGUGGGGAAAGUGGCGAAAGGGGCAGUAAUGCAUGGGUAACCUACCUUGGGGAUGGGCAUAGCCGUUCUAACGAACGGGUAAUACCCAGCGAUUCGACGGGGAGGCAUCUUCCUGUCGGGAAAUGAGUUUCGCCUCGAGAGGGGCCCAUGUCGUAUUAGCUAGUUGGUGGGGUAACGGCCUACCAAGGCAAGGAUGCGUAGCGGGUGUGAGAGCACGACCCGCGCCACUGGCACUGAGACACUGGCCAGACACCUACGGGUGGCUGCAGUCGAGGACCUUCGUCAAUGGGCGCAAGCCUGAACGAGCGACGCCGCGUGAGCGAUGAAGGCCUUCGGGUUGUAAAGCUCGAAAGAGGGAAGAAAACCGCAAGGUUGAUCGACCCUCAGUAAGGACGGGCUAAGUUCGU